UUAGCCCGCUUGCUAUUUCCAAUUUAGGGCGCUAAACAAACUUUAAAAUUUUUUGUACAAAAGCUUCUAUUCUUCUCGUUGUUUAGUUUAACAGUUGGACUUUUAGUGGCAGGAGUUACUUUUUUUGGAAGGCUUGCUGUGAUUUUCUUACUGUUUCGGAUCUGCCUUCGGCAAAAAUUUCACUCUAUAAGAUUGGAAUCUGAUCUGAGAAAACGUCAAAAAACAGUAAGCAAAUACUUAGGUAAUCGGCAUAGUUGGAAGGCAUCCUGCUUUCCUUUUCAGUUUUCAUUUGGAGCCCUAAAAACAAGCUGAUUCUCCUGAAAAAAAAACGAGCUUUUGAUUUUUAACCAUUAGACGGUUGCCCGAUCAUUUGACCAAACUUAAUAAAUUUUGGACGUAAAACAUUUUAAUUAUCUGUAACAUUUAGAAUUCUUAAGUUCUUUAAUCUGCAUAAGUAACUAGGCUAUACAUAAUUCAGAAGUUGAGCUCAGUUUAGCGAAAAAUUGGACUAAUUUCUGUCGCAAAAAGAAAUUGCUUGGGAUACCUUUUGUUCACAAUUAAUCAGGCAAACGGGCGCUAGCACUUGUGGGUUUUACUUCACUAAACAUUCCGUUAAUAGUACCCUUAUACCAUCUUUACUAUUACUAACCAAUCAAGAAUUGAGAAACCAAGCAGCUUGACUUGUUUCAGAAAAGUCAAAAUCAAUUAUUAAACCUCUGUUAUAACCAGCAAAAUUUGGAGAAAAGAAAAAACGUGUGUUUUUAAAAAUGAAAUCGCAACUUCAGAAUUCUUCUCGUAAAUUGGGUUCCAUGUCAAGGAUUUCUGCUAUUAUUUUCCAGCUACUGGUUAUCUUUUCGACGACAUCACCGAACACUUCCGCCAAGCCUCUAGUUGCCAAAGAAAACGAAGGUCAACCCGCUGGAUUUUUUGAGCUCAACAACUACGAACCUGCUUAUGCGUAUGAGGACAGUAGCCGAUUCUUUGCUCUAAAAACACCAGCAAACACGGCAACGUACCCUUACCUUGAAGAGCCCAAUUGGCAGGAAAUGGGAAACGAUUACUUGACCUCUAACCCCACAGAAAACAAUUUAGAAGAUGGCAGAUUGGCCGUGAUAGAUGAAAAUGGAGAAGAUAGAAUGGAGGCGAUGAGAAGAAGGAUGUUCAAGAGAAAUGCCUACUUCAUCAAGGCCAAAAUGGGGGGCAGAGGAAGACCACGAAACAGGAGAAACAGACCAUGGGCACACUCCACCCACUAAACGGACCAUAGUUAAUGCCAUGCACUCACCUGUCCAAUUAACAGACCAUAGUUAAUACCAUACAUCCAAUCGACCCACUACAAGGGCCAUAGUUAAUGCCAUACAUCCAAUCGAUCCACUAAAUGGGCCAUAAAAAGAGAACAACGCAAGUGGCGGUCAAAGUUAUCAGCACCUUCCUUUUGUCAGUAAUGAACAACGAAGCAAAAACAGUUUUAAUUCUCUUUUUGAUUUGCUUAAAAAGUUGACAAUACAAUUCAAAACCAACUUGAAAUACACAAUG